UCCGCGGAGCUCACUCGUACGUCACGCGCUGUGUCAAAAACCGACUUUUCGAAUACGAAUUUGGAACGUUUUGGACCGGUAAUGUCGGUUCAACUGUCGCUUUUAAACAGCGGACUUCUCGCGACCGCCUAAAUUUCGCGUUGCGAAUCGAACGUGCGAUUGCUUCAUUCUGUUACGUGCCGCUUUAACAGAUAACUGUGAAGGAACGUGUGUAGGCUUUCAGUGUUGUGGGAUCAGCAGAUUUAGUGCUUCAUCUGUGCAGUGCAAUUGGAGCAUGUGUUUUAGUGGAAAGUGCUAAUUUUGCCGUUUGGCUCGUCUAUCGAUACGUUUCACUGAACUCGAGACAAAAAGUGGUUUUGUGAUCGAGUUCAUGUGACUACCGGAGUAUUGAUACGCAUUGCUUUCCCCCUGUCCACAAUUUGAUUUAUGGACCGCCCUGGCAAAGAGCAGACGCCGUACAGAGAGGGCACAAGCCCUCACACACCAACAUGUGACCACCGAAGCGCCGACCAAAACACAAACCCUCUUCAAAUUCAUGAGUCUCCCAAGAUUACAUGAUUAAGAAUAUUUAUUGUACUAUAAUAACGAAUCUAGUCGCCACAGCACUUUUUAACACGAAGCAACUUUAGACUGUAUUUUAAAAGGGUAAAGUCGAUAAUUGAACGAUUGUCGAACUAGUACAAAGAUUAAGGAGUUGAGAGAGUACAAAAGGAACACUAACGUCGAUUUAGAAGUAAAUUGAACAUCUUAGAAGUUCCUGCACACAAGAGCCAAAAUGUCUACGAGUUUCGAGCACUCAGCCAUGAAGAGCAGCUUCUCGCUGUCGUCGCUGGGGACUGCGCCGGCGCCCCCUGGCGGCCGCUGCGACCAACUGGAGCGGCCGUACCACAGCCUCACUAA